rnacentral:rRNA from 1 species
AUUGAACGCUGGCGGCAGGCCUAACACAUGCAAGUCGAACGAGUGGCGGACGGGUGAGUAAUGUCUGGGAAACUGCCUGAUGGAGGGGGAUAACUACUGGAAACGGUAGCUAAUACCGCAUACCAUCGGAUGUGCCCAGAUGGGAUUAGCUAGUAGGUGGGGGAACGGCUCACCUAGGCGACGAUCCCUAGCUGGUCUGAGAGGAUGACCAGCCACACUGGAACUGAGACACGGUCCAGACUCCGACGGGAGGCAGCAGUGGGGAAUCUUGCACAAUGGGCGCAAGCCGGAUGCAGCCAUGCCGCGUGUAUGAAGAAGGCCGUCGGGUUGUAAAGUACUUUCAGCGGGGAGGCGUUACCUGCAGAAUAAGCACCGGCUAACUACGUGCCAGCAGACGCGGUAAUUC